rnacentral:rRNA from 1 species
UACGGGGGGGGCAAGCGUUGUUCGGAAUUACUGGGCGUAAAGGGCUCGUAGGCGGCCAACUAAGUCCGACGUGAAAUCCCCAGGCUUAACCUGGGAACUGCGUCGGAUACCGGAUGGCUUGAAUCCGGGAGAGGGAUGCGGAAUUCCAGGUGUAGCGGUGAAAUGCGUAGAUAUCUGGAGGAACACCGGUGGCGAAGGCGGCAUCCUGGACCGGCAUUGACGCUGAGGAGCGAAAGCCAGGGGAGCAAACGGG